CCUUCGGGUGUGAAUUAGCGGCGAACGGGUGAGGAACACGUGAGAAAUCUGCCUUCAACACUGGGAUAACUCCGGGAAACCGGGGCUAAUACCGGAUAUGAAAUCUGCGGGCAUCCGCGGAUUUGGAAAGUUUUUCGGUUGAAGAUGAUCUCGCGGCCUAUCAGCUUGUUGGUGAGGUAAUGGCUCACCAAGGCGACGACGGGUAGCCGGCCUGAGAGGGCGACCGGCCACACUGGGACUGAGACACGGCCCAGACUCCUACGGGAGGCAGCAGUGGGGAAUAUUGGGCAAUGGAGGAAACUCUGACCCAGCGACGCCGCGUGCGGGAUGAAGGCCUUCGGGUUGUAAACCGCUUUCAGCAGGGAAGAAGCGAAAGUGACGGUACCUGCAGAAGAAGCACCGGCUAACUAUGUGCCAGCAGCCGCGGUAAUACAUAGGGUGCAAGCGUUGUCCGGAAUUAUUGGGCGUAAAGAGCUCGUAGGUGGUUCGUCACGUCGGAUGUG
rnacentral:rRNA from 1 species